GACGAACGCUGGCGGCGUGCCUAAUACAUGCAAGUCGAGCGGACAGAAGGGAGCUUGCUCCCGGAAGUUAGCGGCGGACGGGUGAGUAACACGUGGGCAACCUACCCUGUAGAUCGGGAUAACAUCGAGAAAUCGGUGCUAAUACCGGAUAAUCAUUUGAAGUGCAUGCUUCGAAUGUAAAAGAUGGCUCCGGCUAUCACUACGGGGUGGGCCCGCGGCGCAUUAGCUGGUUGGUAAGGUAAUGGCGUACCAAGGCAACGAUGCGUAGCCGACCUGAGAGGGUGAUCGGCCACACUGGGACUGAGACACGGCCCAGACUCCUACGGGAGGCAGCAGUAGGGAAUCUUCCGCAAUGGACGAAAGUCUGACGGAGCAACGCCGCGUGAGUGAUGAAGGUUUUCGGAUCGUAAAGCUCUGUUGUUAGGGAAGAACAAGUGCCGUUUGAAUAAGGCGGCACCUUGACGGUACCUAACCAGAAAGCCACGGCUAACUACGUGCCAGCAGCCGCGGUAAAAC
rnacentral:rRNA from 1 species